rnacentral:rRNA from 1 species
ACAAUUCUCACCCUAGCCUAAAUAUAUUAACCAUAAAAUCAAUUUAUCUUGAUCUAAAACCAAUUAAAACAUUUUUUAUCUUUAGUAUAUGCGAUAAAAAAAGAAACCAGAGCAAUAGUGACAGUACCGCAAGGGAAAGGUGAAAUAGUAGUGAAAUAAUACUUAAUAUAAAAAAGCAAAGAUAAAACCUUGUACCUUUUGCAUCAUGGCCUAACAAGUCUAAUCAGGCAAAAUGAAUUUUAGUCUGACUUCCCGAAACUAAGUGAGCUACUCCGAAGCACUAUGACUCGUCUCUGUGGCAAAAGAGUGAGAAGACUUCCGAGUAGAGGCGAUAAACCUACCGAACCUAGUGAUAGCUGGUUACUCAGGAAAAGAAUUUUAGUUCAUCCUAAAAAAAUCUAAGCACUUAAAGCAUUUUUUUAGAGUUAUUCAAUUAGGGUACAGCCUAAUUGAAAUAGGAUACAACCUAAGUUUUUGGUUAAUGAUUAUACUAAUAUAAAAGUCAAAGGCUAAGUCGGCUUAAAAGCAGCCAUCUUUAAAAAAGCGUCAAAGCUUGACCUUGUAACUACUUUUAUUCGAUUAAUUUUUCAAAAUCCAAUAUUUUUACUGAGUUGUUCUAUAUUUUUAUAGAAGCAUUAAUGUUAGGACUAGUAAUAUAGAAUUAUUUCUCUUUCAUGUAAGUAAAAAUCAGAUCGAAUACAUCACUGAUAUCUACCCAGUUUUGAAUAUAUAGUAAUUUUGGAACCCUUCCCCGAAAACACUACUUUUUCUUCUGUUAACCUUACACAAGAACAUGCAAGAAAGAUACAAAGACUAAGAAGGAACUCGGCAAACACCAGUCUCGCCUGUUUACCAAAAACAUCGCCUUUUGAAAAUUAUAAAAGGUAACGCCUGCCCAGUGACAUUGUUUAACGGCCGCGGUAUUCUGACCGUGCGAAGGUAGCGUAAUCACUUGUCUUUUAAAUAAAGACUUGUAUGAAUGGCAUCACGAAGACUUAACUGUCUCCUUAGUCCUAUCAGUGAAACUGAUCUUUCCGUACAAAAGCGGAAAUAAAACCAUAAGACGAGAAGACCCUAUGGAGCUUAAAACUAAAAUCUAGCUAUAUCAUCUGUUAAAAUUUAUUAAUACUAUAUCUUUAUAGACUUAGCCAAAGUUUUCAGUUGGGGUGACUGUGGAGAAAAACUAAUCCUCCAUGUAGAUUUAAGCCUUGAGCUACCACUCUCAGCAUUAACAAGUUUAACUUUACUUGAUCCAAUAAUUUUGAUCAACGGACCAAGUUACCCUAGGGAUAACAGCGCAAUCCAUUUCAAGAGUCCAUAUCGACAAAUGGGUUUACGACCUCGAUGUUGGAUUAGGACACCCUAGUUGUGCAGCCGCUACUAAC